CACUGUUGGUUAUGUGUGCCCAAGCAUUGAGGCAGUCAAAGUAGGCAAAUCCGCUUUGAUAAUGCUGGGAUGUGAUGGGGAGCGAAAUUUAGUAGCGAAGUAGCUGAUUUCACACUGUCAAGAAAAGUCUCUAUCGAGGUUAAAGGUACCCGUACCGCAAACCGACACAGGUGGGUGAGGAGAGUAUCCUAAGGCCAGCGAGAGAACUGUUGUUAAGGAACUCGGCAAAAUGACCCCGUAACUUAGGGAUAAGGGGUGCCACCAUCAGGUGGCCGCAGAGAAUAGGCCCAAGCGACUGUUUACCAAAAACAUAGGUUUCUGCUAAGUCGCAAGACGAUGUAUAGGAGCUGACGCCUGCCCGGUGCUGGAAGGUUAAGGGGAUCUGUUAGAGCAAUCGAAGCAGUGAACUUAAGCCCCAGUAAACGGCGGCCGUAACUAUAACGGUCCUAAGGUAGCGAAAUUCCUUGUCGGGUAAGUUCCGACCCGCACGAAAGGCGUAACGAUUUGGGCACUGUCUCAACAACAGACUCGGUGAAAUUGUAAUUCCGGUGAAGAUGCCGGAUACCUGCGACAGGACGGAAAGACC
rnacentral:rRNA from 1 species